GGACGGGUGAGUAACACGUGGAUAACCUACCUAUAAGACUGGGAUAACUUCGGGAAACCGGAGCUAAUACCGGAUAAUAUAUUGAACCGCAUGGUUCAAUAGUGAAAGACGGUUUUGCUGUCACUUAUAGAUGGAUCCGCGCCGCAUUAGCUAGUUGGUAAGGUAACGGCUUACCAAGGCAACGAUGCGUAGCCGACCUGAGAGGGUGAUCGGCCACAUUGGGACUGAGAUACGGCCCAG
rnacentral:rRNA from 1 species